AUUUAGUGCAGAGUUUCAUCGUGAAUCUUUACAGCUUGCUGUCCACAGGCAGUAUUUCAAAUAUAGCCCCGAUAUUUUUUGGAUCCAUCCCGACCGCCUGUUUGCAGUCACGUGCCCUCCCUUUAACCUGUAUUAGGAACCAUAGCUGUCGUCAGAAUGCAUUCCYGCGGCUUCCUUUUGGACAGACUGCAGACUAUGCUGACUGAUCAGAGCACGUCCUCCUCACUAAUCAGAAUCUACGUUAGAAAAGUCUCAGGCCUCUGUACCCUUCGGUAAAGACACACCCAUCUACCUAUUACAUUCCUUUCUAAACGACAUGCCAAUUAAAGGCAAGGCUCUGAUAAUCUCAUUCAUGCUGACAUCUCAUCUAAAUUAAUUAGACUGCUUCCAUAAGACAGUAUUGCAUCUCAUGAGUAAGUAUAUACCCAUCUGUUCUAAACUUAAGCAGUAUUUGUUAUAGCUAUAACCAUAUUCUUCAGCAAGAUACUAGGAUUUCAGCUCCACUUUUUAUAGCACAAUAAAACUACCUUUUAUUUUACCA
rnacentral:lncRNA from 1 species